AUUUUUUUGUCAGAUCCUCUUUUUAUUGAAAUAUUUCCUGUUUCUUAGCCAACUAGGCACACCACAACACCAUUGUUGAUGUCAUCAAUGAUGUCAUGAGGGUGCAGGUUGUCCACAUUGCAGCUCACAGGCUGGGAGGUCCCCAGAAUUUCUUCAACGUUCUGGAAAGUUCUCUGGCUAAAGACCAGUGUCACAUCUGUCAGGCAAUGCUGACAAUCUCAUCAAAAGUGAUAUUUCCACUGUGUUGAAUGUUUUUCUGCUUCUUCCCAUCUCUUGGUGGCUCCCUGAGGGCUUUGAUGAUCAGAGCAGAGGCAGAAGGCACCACCUCGAUCUGAGCCUGUCUGUCCUGAAUGGUCAGUGUCACAGUAAUCCUCAGACCUUCCAGUCCCCAGUUGCCUUGGUGAUGUCAUCACCCACUUUUGGAGACAGACCCCAAGGACCGAUCUUGGGGGUCAGGGCAGACGUGGCCAUCAGUGCACUUCAGAAACCAUCUGUGUGGUGGAGACAAUGCUUAAUCAUGAGUAAGGAGAAAUCUCUACAGAUGUUUCAUUGCCAAAAAUAUCUUGAUUACUUUGACAUGGAACUGGCCUCCAUCUCAGUAAUUUCAGAGCAUCCUAGGGGAUCAGAGCUACAAAUCCUGUCCACCGCGAAGAGUAACAACUUUUCCCAGCCUAAAGAGUCAAGGUGGAUUUAUUACACAGGAGCUCAAUUUUGUACUUGUUUUCUUCUGCUUCUCUGAAUGCAAAGUCUGCAGCAUCGACCCUCUAGAAUAAGGAGUCAUUCUCUUUUAGAUUUUAUUUUACCUGAGGAUAAAAGUUUAAUGGCCUCUAUUUCAGGUAUGAUUGUAAGAUAGUAGACUACUGCCUCAUAAAUAUUGGCAAUAAAU
rnacentral:lncRNA from 1 species